rnacentral:rRNA from 1 species
CACGUAGGGCGCGAGCGUUGUCCGGAAUUAUUGGGCGUAAAGAGCGUGUAGGCGGCCUGACAGGUCUGCUGUGAAAACUCGAGGCUCAACCUCGAGAUGUCGGCGGAAACCGUCUGGCUAGAGUCCGGAAGAGGAGAGUGGAAUUCCCGGUGUAGCGGUGAAAUGCGCAGAUAUCGGGAAGAACACCCGUGGCGAAGGCGGCUCUCUGGGACGGUACUGACGCUGAGACGCGAAAGCGUGGGGAGCAAACAGG